GCCGCCCAUCGUCUAGUGGUCCAGGACGCCGCCCCUUUCAAGGCGGUAGCACGGGUUCGAACCCCGUUGGGGGCA
rnacentral:tRNA from 1 species